CACCCGUUCCCAUUCCGAACACGGAAGUUAAGCUCAUAUGCGAUGAAGAUACUUGACUGGCGACGGUCUGGAAAAAUAAUUCUAUGCCGGUA
rnacentral:rRNA from 1 species